rnacentral:rRNA from 1 species
AUACGUAGGUCCCGAACGUUGCGCGAAAUUACUGGGCGUAAAGGGUCCGUAGGCGGUCUGGUAAGUGGAAGGUGAAAGCCUGGGGCUCAACUCCAGAAUUGCCUUCCAAACUGCCGGACUUGAGGCAGGGAGAGGUCGGCGGAAUUCCCGGUGUAGUGGUGAAAUGCGUAGAUAUCGGGAGGAACACCAGUGGCGAAGGCGGCCGACUGGAACUGUCCUGACGCUGAGGGACGAAAGCCAGGGGAGCGAACCGGAUUAGAAACCCCAGUAGUCCC